UGUCAACGGUGACCACCGUUGAGGUCUAAUAGUUCAACUGCCCUGCCAGACGACAAUUUAUGUAUCAAUUGUGUUGCAAUAAAAAAGAUAUUGCAACAGUGUUUUGCUGACUUUCAUUAUUUUGGCAUUUCUAUUUCAGUGUAACUUUUGCUAUGGUAUUUCAUUUGAAAUUUUUAGUAAUUUAAGAUGGAAAUUAUCACGAAUAAUAAUUCUGAUAAACAUGUUUCUCCGAUAGAAAUUUGGAAUGGGAGAAAAAGCGCUGAUCAGCUUUCCAUUGAUUAUGAAGCUACAGAAGUUUUCCUCAAUCUUUUGGAAGAAAAUUGGGAGACCCUGUGUGAUACCAAAACAGGAAAGAAAAUAAUUUGGAAUACUAUUGCAAAUGGGUUAGAGGAAGCUGGUUUUGCAGUUCGUGGUUCAGAAAAGGCCAAACAUGCAAGAACAAGUGGGAGAAUCUACGUAAAGAAUAUAGGACAUUCCUUUCAAAAUACCAAACUGGGAGCGGUGCAUCAGCUACAAAGAAGAAACCAAAAUUCUUCAAUGAAAUUGAGAAAAUUAUUGGUAGCAACAGCCAUUCUUACAAGCCACCAUUUGUGAGUGAUUCCCUUGAAAGGACACAAAACCCAGCGAAGUUUCAAGUGAAAAAUAAUG